CACGUAGGGCGCAAGCGUUGUCCGGAAUUAUUGGGCGUAAAGAGCUCGUAGGCGGUCUGUUGCGUCCGCUGUGAAAACUCGGGGCUUAACCCCGAGCCUGCAGUGGAUACGGGCAGACUAGAGGUAGGUAGGGGAGAAUGGAAUUCCCGGUGUAGCGGUGAAAUGCGCAGAUAUCAGGAGGAACACCGGUGGCGAAGGCGGAUCUCUGGGCCAUUACUGACGCUGAGGAGCGAAGGCGUGGGGAGCGAACAGG
rnacentral:rRNA from 1 species